rnacentral:rRNA from 1 species
CUGGGCUAGAAUAGGUGAUCCGCAGCGAAGCCUCUCUAGGUAGAGGAACGUUCACAGACUAAGUGGUUAUGGGUAGGAUUUAUGUCCUGUCUAAGAUAUAGUCGGGCCCAUUGGGAAACCAGUGGGGGUAUUCGCUGAAUACAUGAUCUCAAGGUCCUAGCAAUUAUGCAUCAGGCAUUCUAUAAGCUACAUUCUUUAGACGCGAGAUUAAAUAACCGCUCCGUAGGUGAACCUGCGGAGGGAUCAUUACAGAGUUCUUGCCCAGUAGGGUAGAUCUCCCACCCUGUGUUGAUAUAUACGUUUGUUGCUUUGGCAAGCCCGCUGGGCUUUGGUUCAGCCACCGGCUGCGGCUGGUGAGCGCUUGUCAGAGGACCCUAAAACUCUUGAAUAUUAGUAUCGUCUAAGCACUAUAUGAAUAGUUAAAACUUUCAACAACGGAUCUCUUGGUUCUGGCAUCGAUGAAGAACGCAGCGAAAUGCGAUAAGUAAUGUGAAUUGCAGAAUUCAGUGAAUCAUCGAAUCUUUGAACGCACAUUGCGCUCCUUGGUAUUCCGAGGAGCAUGCCUGUCCGAGCGUCAUUACAACCCUCAAGCUCUGCUUGGUAUUGGGCCUCAUCGGUAACGGUGUGCCCUAAAACGAGCGGCGGUACUGCCUGGCUCUAAGCGUAGUAAAUUUCUCGCUACAGAUGCCCGGGAGCUACCUGCCCUAACCCC